rnacentral:rRNA from 1 species
CAGCAGUAGCCGCGGGAAAACAGAGGGUGCGAGCGUUAAUCGGAUUUACUGGGCGUAAAGCGUGCGUAGGCGGCUUUUUAAGUCGGAUGUGAAAUCCCUGAGCUUAACUUAGGAAUUGCAUUCGAUACUGGGAAGCUAGAGUAUGGGAGAGGAUGGUAGAAUUCCAGGUGUAGCGGUGAAAUGCGUAGAGAUCUGGAGGAAUACCGAUGGCGAAGGCAGCCAUCUGGCCUAAUACUUACGCUGAGGUACGAAAGCAUGGGGAGCAAACAGGAUUAGAUACCCCCGUAGUCCCUGUCUCUUAUAC